UCAGCUAAUAUCAUAUGAAGUCAAGUCACCUUUAUUUAUAUAGCGCUUUUAACAAUACAAAUUGUGUCAAAAUAACUUUACAAUAUAAAAAUAGGAAAAUAGUGUGUCAAUAAUGUAAAAUGACAAGAUUAAGCACUCCAUUUUCAGUUAAAGGCAUUUCAUUAUUGAAUUCAGUGAUGUCAUCGUCCAGCUCAGUUCAGUUUAAAUAGUAUCUGUGCAACCAAGUCGACGAUAUCGCUGGAAAUGAAGUGUCCCCAACUAAGCAACACUGUUAGACAUUUCUGUAAUUUCUGCAGUUAUUUACUGUAUAUCACCCAGUAUAAUACUGCAAAUUCCCUUUACAGUAAAUAACUGUAAUACCCUUUGCAUCAUGGGAAUUUUGUGUGACGUCAGACCCCACAUACAGAGACUCACUGUAUUUUAAAAAAAUUGCUGUAUACUACUGUAUUUGCUGUAACGGCCUCUUUGGCGCCAUUCUAUUGAGGUUGUUAUAUUUUCCUCAUUUCUUACAUUUGGAUUGACACGAUUUUCCCUGCACCGUGCACCGUGUCUAUAACGUGUCUGUAACACUGGAUGUGUUACAUCGCUUGUAAUGAUUGAAAAAUCCGUUUGUACUUCGUGUCAGAGGGACAGCGGGAGCACUUGGAGUACAUCUGUACGUCAGAAAAAUACCGGGGCAUCAGUUAACUGUCCGCAUCCACUGUAGAUAGUAUAUAUAAUGGGUUCAAUAUUGUUUUUUUAUCGAGUCGCGCCUUGCCACUCGCGUCCGAGGAAGACACGGAUCCAGCAGGGCAGCGCCGCGGGUUUUUCCCAGGGAUGAACCGGCGAGAGUGAAAGAGUUCCGGAGAACCUUUGCACUGUGCGUCAAUGCACCUAACGAGAUAAUAAGAACCACAAGCAAGGCAACUGCAAUGAAGCAUCAAGAAAGACGUGGAGCAGCGCCAGCCACCCAUAAUUCAUGAGGAUACAUUUCUGUCACUAACAAAGUGGAUGAUGAGCAAAGGUGGUGGCCACAUUUUGGAGCAGCACCUGGGUUUUGCAGAUGUUUGUCUUUUUUCCCAAAAAAGUGUUUCUGUUGCCUAAAGAUUCUUUGUGAGGAUAAAUCCAGAGGACACAACAUAAUGCACUGCAAAACGUCCUAAGACAGGAGAAAUGCUGAAGAUGCACUGUUCCAGCAUUGGAA